rnacentral:lncRNA from 1 species
AUGUGCUCAAGAGCUGGAAAGGAAGAUCUCCAGACACCAGAAACAGGAAGCAGAGGUGGAUCAGAAGAAGACCUGGGGCCUCUGGAUAAAGGCAUCGAGCCUCAGCAAACAUUACUAAGCAUCCAAUGUGUACCAAGCCCACUGGCGAAACUGUUCAGAUGUAAGGAGAAAUAGACGUAUGCUCUUUCCUGUGAGUAUUCUGAAGCUUUAAGAUCCCUUGUAUAUUUAUAAGAUGUA